AUAUUCUUUCCUUUCCUGUCGAUGAUUUUAAAUGUUUGGUUCGAGCAGUUACGGGGACCAAACCAGAUGAAAAGGUAGGCUGAAGUGUUAAUUUUGAAAAUUGCAAGUUGUACUGAAAUGAGUGUGUUGUGAUUUCCUUCCAUCUUGUUGAUGAUUAUCACAUCCUGUUUAGAUGAUUGAUCUCUUGAUAGAGACUGGAAACAGUGAGCAUAUCUUCCACAAGGAAAUUUGGGAAAUGGGGUGAGGACAGGUGAAGCUCCUGCUUUGAAUUGUGCUUCAUACUAGUUGCCGUGAAGAGUGGUCAGUUCAUUGUAGAAGUCAAGCCUCAUGUUUUGGAUGUUUUACUCUCCGAGUACGAAACGUCAUCUCAUGGGCCAGGAAAAUGGCAGAAUUUGGCCACUUUUCUACAUCAAAGCUUGGAGGGGCCAAUAUUCGACCUAAUCAAGAAGCAG